rnacentral:rRNA from 1 species
CCCUACGGGAGGCAGCAGUGGGGAAUAUUGGACAAUGGGGGCAACCCUGAUCCAGCCAUGCCGCGUGCGUGAAGAAGGCCUUAGGGUUGUAAAGCGCUUUCGGCGGGGAAGAUGAUGACGGUACCCGCAGAAGAAGCUCCGGCUAACUCCGUGCCAGCAGCCGCGGUAAUACGGAGGGGGCUAGCGUUGUUCGGAAUUACUGGGCGUAAAGGGCGCGUAGGCGGAUUGUCAAGUCAGAGGUGAAAGCCCUGGGCUCAACCUGGGAACUGCCUUUGAAACUAACGGUCUAGAGUCCGAGAGAGGAUGGCGGAAUUCCCAGUGUAGAGGUGAAAUUCGUAGAUAUUGGGAAGAACACCAGUGGCGAAGGCGGCCAUCUGGCUCGGUACUGACGCUGAGGCGCGAAAGCGUGGGGAGCAAACAGGAUUAGAUACCCUGGUAGUCCACGCCGUAAACGAUGUGUGCUAGCCGUUGGGAAACCUAGUUUUUCAGUGGCGCAGCUAACGCAUUAAGCACACCGCCUGGGGAGUACGGUCGCAAGAUUAAAACUCAAAGGAAUUGACGG